AGAGAGAGAGAGAGAGAGAACGUGCCAGAGAGGGACAGAGAAGAGAGCUAGAAAUAGAGAACAGAGACAGAAAGAGAGAGAAAAACAGGUAGAGAGGAAGAAAGGGAGGAAGGGAGAGAGAGAGUCAGUGAGACAGAGAAAAACAGAAGGAGGGGGAAAAAAAGAGACAGAGAGACAAGGAGAGAAAAAAAUACACAGAGACAGAGAAAGAGACUUUGGAGGGGAGAAGGCAUCCCCCCAGAGUAGAUCUACACGGAGUACCAAGCAUUAUGUUGAGUUUGUGUCUGUAGCCAGGAAGGGUUCCAGUUAGGCACAGAGUUCUCAAGUUUACGGAGAUAAAUGUCCCUGGAGCACCCCAUUAUAAAAGUUCUUGUGGCUUUGUGACCCCAGCAGAGGGUCUUUUUCUUCUUCAACUUUCUAUGGUCACUCUGGAAAGGUCUCACUCUCCUUUUAAGUAUAAACAACAUUCAUGAUGGGCAGCUAGCUGGUGUAAUGGACAGACUUAUCUACCUGAGUUCAAAUCUAGCCUCAGACACUUAGUAGCUGUUUAACCCUGUGUGAGCAUUUAAUCUCUGUCUUAGUUUCUUCAUCUGUAAAAUGGGGGUGAUAUGUUAUGAAGAUCAAAUGAAAGAAUCAUUGUUAAGCACUUAGCAUUUGCCACAUAGUAAGUGCUAAAUAAAUAGUAGUUCCCAUUAUUAUGUUAAAAUAAAGAUAUCAUUUUCCCCCAUACAGAACCUGAAAUCUGUUCAUAACCGCAAGUUAAGAAUCCUUGGUUAAAAGAUCUCUGAAGUCCUGGCUGAAAAAAUCCUGUGAUUGAAUUUAAUAAAUUCAAUUAAAUAGAUAAUAAUAAUUUAAUAGAUUUUGGUAAUUUCAAAAAGAGCUCUUCCUCAAUGGAUUUAACAAUCUCUCUGUUCCUCUCCCUGUCCCUUCCAAAGUCCCUAAGCCAGAGUUAUUCUCAAGUAAUAAAGUGGGUCCCUUCGCGAUCUGCCUCCUGGUGAGCCAUCCACCAACUGGCCAAUGAGCCUUUCUGGCACUGAGGAGUACCAUUGUUCUCUCUCCCUGUUUCCUUUCCAAAUUGAAAAUCCCCAAGCAAGAGGCAGCUAGGUGGCACAGUGGGUAGAGCACCAGCUCUGAAGUGAGGAGGAUCUGAGUUCUAAUCUGACCUCAGACACUUGGAACUUCCUGGCUGUGUGACCCUGGGCAAGUCACUUAACCCCAAUUGCCUCAGUGGAAAAAAAAAAAAAGAAAGAAAGAAAGAAAGAAAGAAAAAGAAAA